rnacentral:tRNA from 1 species
GGCCAGUUAGCUCAGUCGGUUGGAGCGCGGUGCUGAUAACACCAAGGUCGCGGGUUCAAUUCCCGUUCAGACCC